GUUAGCAAUUAUUUGUUUAGGAUACAGAUUAUUUCAGUAUCUACGAUCAAAUUAAAGUUAAAUUGGUUUCCAAGAAAUUUCCUUCAAGUAGGCAUACUUGUUUUCCGAAUAUGUAUUCCACUACAUACCUCUCAUAAGUGGACGAAACAUGCGACAUACUUCAACUAAACCGCAUGUUCACCAUCAAAAAAAAUGCAGAAAAUGUUAUCAAGAUUGUAAAGAUGAACAAAUUGAGCACAAUGAAUAAAACCGAUAGCUGUCGUUUCUCACAAACCUUCGUCGCUAACGAAUGAUAAACAAUUCCAGGAAAUUUAAUGGUAAUACGACAAAUCAUUCAUUAAGAACUUUUCAUUAACGCG